AAAUUGAAGAGUUUGAUCAUGGCUCAGAUUGAACGCUGGCGGCAGGCCUAACACAUGCAAGUCGAACGGUAACAGGAAGCAGCUUGCUGCUUUGCUGACGAGUGGCGGACGGGUGAGUAAUGUCUGGGAAACUGCCUGAUGGAGGGGGAUAACUACUGGAAACGGUGGCUAAUACCGCAUAACGUCGCAAGACCAAAGAGGGGGACCUUCGGGCCUCUUGCCAUCAGAUGUGCCCAGAUGGGAUUAGCUUGUUGGUGAGGUAACGGCUCACCAAGGCGACGAUCCCUAGCUGGUCUGAGAGGAUGACCAGCCACACUGGAACUGAGACACGGUCCAGACUCCUACGGGAGGCAGCAGUGGGGAAUAUUGCACAAUGGGCGCAAGCCUGAUGCAGCCAUGCCGCGUGUAUGAAGAAGGCCUUAGGGUUGUAAAGUACUUUCAGCGGGGAGGAAGGUGUUGCGGUUAAUAACCGCAGCAAUUGACGUUACCCGCAGAAGAAGCACCGGCUAACUCCGUGCCAGCAGCCGCGGUAAUACGGAGGGUGCAAGCGUUAAUCGGAAUUACUGGGCGUAAAGCGCACGCAGGCGGUCUGUCAAGUCGGAUGUGAAAUCCCCGGGCUCAACCUGGGAACUGCAUUCGAAACUGGCAGGCUUGAGUCUUGUAGAGGGGGGUAGAAUUCCAGGUGUAGCGGUGAAAUGCGUAGAGAUCUGGAGGAAUACCGGUGGCGAAGGCGGCCCCCUGGACAAAGACUGACGCUCAGGUGCGAAAGCGUGGGGAGCAAACAGGAUUAGAUACCCUGGUAGUCCACGCCGUAAACGAUGUCUACUUGGAGGUUGUGCCCUUGAGGCGUGGCUUCCGGAGCUAACGCGUUAAGUAGACCGCCUGGGGAGUACGGCCGCAAGGUUAAAACUCAAAUGAAUUGACGGGGGCCCGCACAAGCGGUGGAGCAUGUGGUUUAAUUCGAUGCAACGCGAAGAACCUUACCUGGUCUUGACAUCCACAGAACUUUCCAGAGAUGGAUUGGUGCCUUCGGGAACUGUGAGACAGGUGCUGCAUGGCUGUCGUCAGCUCGUGUUGUGAAAUGUUGGGUUAAGUCCCGCAACGAGCGCAACCCUUAUCCUUUGUUGCCAGCGGUUAGGCCGGGAACUCAAAGGAGACUGCCAGUGAUAAACUGGAGGAAGGUGGGGAUGACGUCAAGUCAUCAUGGCCCUUACGACCAGGGCUACACACGUGCUACAAUGGCGCAUACAAAGAGAAGCGACCUCGCGAGAGCAAGCGGACCUCAUAAAGUGCGUCGUAGUCCGGAUUGGAGUCUGCAACUCGACUCCAUGAAGUCGGAAUCGCUAGUAAUCGUGGAUCAGAAUGCCACGGUGAAUACGUUCCCGGGCCUUGUACACACCGCCCGUCACACCAUGGGAGUGGGUUGCAAAAGAAGUAGGUAGCUUAACCUUCGGGAGGGCGCUUACCACUUUGUGAUUCAUGACUGGGGUGAAGUCGUAACAAGGUAACCGUAGGGGAACCUGCGGUUGGAUCACCUCCUUACCUUA
rnacentral:rRNA from 1 species